GACGAACGCUGGCGGCGUGCCUAAUACAUGCAAGUCGAGCGGACCGGAUUGGGGCUUGCCUUGAUUCGGUCAGCGGCGGACGGGUGAGUAACACGUGGGCAACCUGCCCGCAAGACCGGGAUAACUCCGGGAAACCGGAGCUAAUACCGGAUAACACCGAAGACCGCAUGGUCUUCGGUUGAAAGGCGGCCUUUGGGCUGUCACUUGCGGAUGGGCCCGCGGCGCAUUAGCUAGUUGGUGAGGUAACGGCUCACCAAGGCGACGAUGCGUAGCCGGCCUGGGAGGGUGACCGGCCACACUGGGACUGGGACACGGCCCAGACUCCUACGGGAGGCAGCAGUAGGGAAUCUUCCGCAAUGGGCGAAAGCCUGACGGAGCGACGCCGCGUGAGCGAAGAAGGCCUUCGGGUCGUAAAGCUCUGUUGUGAGGGACGAAGGAGCGUCGUUCGAAGAGGGCGGCGCGGUGACGGUACCUCACGAGAAAGCCCCGGCUAACUACGUG
rnacentral:rRNA from 1 species